AGGAUGAACGUUGGCGGCGUGCCUAACACAUGCAAGUCGAACGAUAGUCGCAAGACUAUAGUGGCGCACGGGUGAGUAACACGUAGCUUACCUCCCUCUCAGCGCGGGAUAACGACUCGAAAGAGUUGCUAAUACCGCAUAAGCUCACGGGUUAUAGAGACUUGUGAGAAAAGGCUUCGGUCACUGAGAGGACGGGGCUGCGGCCCAUCAGCUAGUUGGUGAGGUAAAGGCUUACGAAGGCGACGACGGGUAGGGGACCUGGACGACGGGUCGACCCCCGACACGUGGGACUGACGACACGGCCCAGACCUCCGUACGGGAGCGAG
rnacentral:rRNA from 1 species